CCUGCUCACUCUUCCUGUCCAGUCUCCUCACUCAUUGGCUCCGGGCACCAUGUGUGGUUCUCUCUUCUACUGUCACAUCACAGUCAGCCCCUCCCUCCCUUUCCUCAUCCUUCCCAGAUACUAUGACCCAGUUCUAUACCCACUCCCUACCUCAUACUUCUCAUCCUGGAUUAAUGUGGGGGCUUCUGCCAUGACCUUGUUCUCUCCCUUCCCAGCACAGACUCCCCCUCCCCCCGGCCCCUCAGGCCGGGGGUGACCUUGCCCCCUGGAGCCCUCACCAUGAAUACCAAGGACACCACCGAGGUUGCUGAAAACAGCCACCACCUGAAGAUCUUUCUCCCCAAGAAGCUGCUGGAGUGUCUUCCUCGCUGCCCGCUGCUGCCUCCAGAGAGGCUACGGUGGAAUACAAAUGAGGUUUUCUAGGGAGGCUGGGGGUUGGGGCCCAGCAAGACCUAGUAGGCUGGAGGAGGGUGAGUGGGGGGUCUUUCCGUGUCUGUCAACACUCCUAAGUGCAGAGCACCAUUCUAAGAUCUUUGGGGAUCAUAGGAGAGGUAUAAAAAACAUGGA
rnacentral:lncRNA from 1 species